rnacentral:sRNA from 1 species
AUCAGGAGGUCCCUAAACGAUGUGGAGCAUCCUUUUUUUGCAUGGGACCGACGAACUGCCUCCGAAGCUUUAGCUGAGGUGGCGCACCAUAAU